ACCAUCCAAACAAACACACAUUUUUGCAUCACGUGGCCUUGUUUGGGCGAUAUGCAGCCUACCAAAUACGCCAGUAGAGUCCCAAUGGUAUGCCUAUACAAAGGAUGCAAGGAUGUUGAACCUUCUUAAGAAGUUGGACAAUUUCUCGCAUAUUUGAUUUUUCAUGUAGGCGACUCUAGGCGCCGGCCAACCGACCCAACUUUGGUUGGUCUCAUCCUGUGCUUCCCUCCAUCAACUCCCAACCGUUAGAUUAGAUGUGUUUCAUUUUCCACACCCCACAUCCUAACAUGCACAAGAUAAAAAGGGAGAAGGAGCAUAGAGUGCACCCUAGAACACCAAAUCUAUCCUGCAAUGCCUCCUGCCCGUGCGGCUUGGACCACCGGAGUCCCACAUGCCGCCUCAUGGUGAACGGUGCUCCAUUCCAACAAAAAUGACAUAGCGAUCCAGCACCAUGAGACCGUCGUUGUCAUCCUCAUGGAUUGUAUCUUGUUGUGCAUGUCGCAACGAUUGGGGCAACUAUUGUAAAAAUUGUCAUUACCCAUUCUACCAUGUGGUCGCCAUGGUUGCAACAUUCCUAGCGUCACCGCCUCUAGCUCGCCGCCGCCGCCUGCUCUCACCACCAUGUUCUAGCAAAAAAAACCAACAAUAAAAACCGGUGUCACGGAUCAUAGGAAAAACACCAAUUCCAGCAAAGACAUGACAUGUUCCAGCAAAAUAUGCAUCGCCGCGAUGGUCUUAACAAAAAUCUUGACAGAGCCAACAAAACUCUUGCUGGUUGUAGGUUUCUCGAAAUGCGAUUGCAACUUUUGCAGUUGGGCAGUGGUGGCACCCAGUAAUCAUGUCUCUAGUUGGAGCUUUUCCAAUCAUUGGUUGUGGAUUUCUGAGUCCUCGAUAGUAGCAAGUUGUGCCAAUGGUCCCAGUGUUUGUCUCUCGCCAUUGGAGCACACCGUGUCACAGCUCCCCGGUGUGGAUAGUCGCACCACACAGAGGUGCUGGUCCCAGCAUCCCUGCCUUGCAAUGGUACUCCUCCACGAUGGCUAUACCUAGCAACCCUGGCAUACCGCCCUUGCAAUGAGAGCAAAGGAAUCUUGAAACGUUAGGCAGCGGUGGUCGGUCGUGUGGCAGCAACGCCAACAAAAAUGUAUAUCUGCG
rnacentral:lncRNA from 1 species